rnacentral:rRNA from 1 species
UGAGGGAUUUUGCGCAAUGGAGGAAACUCUGACGCAGCGACGCCGCGUGCGGGAUGAAGCCUUUCGGGGUGUAAACCGCUGUCAGUGGGGAAGAGAAGGGACGGUACCCACUGAGGAAGCCUCGGCUAACUACGUGCCAGCAGCCGCGGUAAGACGUAGGGGGCGAGCGUUGUCCGGAAUCACUGGGCGUAAAGAGCUCGUAGGCGGGGUUGCGCGUCAUGGAGUAAAUUUCUCUGCUCAACGGAGAAAUCAUCUGCGAUACGGCAACUCUUGAGGACAGGAGAGGAAAGCGGAAUUCCGAGUGUAGCGGUGAAAUGCGUAGAGAUUCGGAGGAACACCAGUGGCGAAGGCGGCUUUCUGGCCUGAUUCUGACGCUGAGGAGCGAAAGCCAGGGUAGCGAACGGGAUUAGAUACCCCCGUAGUCC